UAGAUAUCACUUGCAGUUAUGUAUUUUAAAGUAUACAAAUACCCUGUGUGUUAUUAGCGUUGGAAAAUAAUUUCAAUAUUUUCACAAAAGUCAGCUCCUGAACUCAAUAAAACCUACCAACUUAUUAUUGAAGAAAUGAAUUCCAUAACCAUGUCCAAAUUAACGGUUGUAUUUUUGGUCACAUUGUUGGCGAUUGGCUCUUUUGCUUGCAUUAAACAUGGAGAUGACUGUACUAUGAAUGGUGAAAAAUGUUGCUCUUACUAUGAGUGCAGAAGAAAUAAUUUUAAACAUUUAACAUGUGGCACGACCGCGAAUACCUAUCCCGGUCCGAUUGCUGGAGGUAGUGACUUGUUUCGCUGAAUCUUCUUUUUAAUUUUUUUAUUUCAGACAUAAAAAUUGUAAUAAUAAUUAUUAUUGUUAUUAAUAUUUGAACUGUUAUUAUCUAAAUAAAAAUAAAUCCCAAUAAAGUAUUUGGAAAAUCAAAAUGUUCACACCUCAAUAUGUAAAUAAUUUACACGGAGAAAAAAAUAUUGUUCUCAGAAGUAUACUGUAUAGUUACAGUAACAAUACGCUAUAGUUAUCUACUAGAUUGUUAUUGCAACGAUCUACUGUAUCGUUCUGACAACAAUACGGUGGAUAGCUCUGAGAUCUAUACGGUAUCGUUCUGAGCCCUAUCUGACGUCACGCACAUUGAAAAUUAUAUGAGAUAUUUAAAAACCUUUAUCAUUCAUAAAUAAAUGAUGAGCAAAUAACUUUGAUUAAAUAAAAUAAUUUAUAAAACUGAUUUAUUAAUUAGUUAUAAUCUAAAUAAAUUUUAAAUGUAAAUAUAUCUUUUAA